AGAGUUUGAUCAUGGCUCAGGAUGAACGCUAGCUACAGGCUUAACACAUGCAAGUCGAGGGGAAACGAUAUUGGAAGCUUGCUUCCGAUAGGCGUCGACCGGCGCACGGGUGAGUAACGCGUAUCCAACCUGCCCACCACUUGGGGAUAACCUUGCGAAAGUAAGACUAAUACCCAAUGAUAUCUCUAGAAGACAUCUGAAAGAGAUUAAAGAUUUAUCGGUGAUGGAUGGGGAUGCGUCUGAUUAGCUUGUUGGCGGGGUAACGGCCACCAAGGCGACGAUCAGUAGGGGUCUGAGAGAAGGUCCCCCANAUUGGAACUGAGACACGGUCCAAACUCCUACGGGAGGCA
rnacentral:rRNA from 1 species